GAAUAAGCUUGGUUGGGUUGUUGCUGGCUCUUCGGAGCAUGUGCACGCCUAACACCAACCUUUUACCACCUGUGCACCUUUUGUAGACCUGGAUAUCUCUCGAGGAAACUCGGUUUUGAGGACUGCUGUGCGCAAGCCGGCUUUUCCUUACACUUCCGGUCUAUGUUUUACACACCCCAGUAUGUUUAAGAAUGUUAUCAAUGGGCUUAAUUGCCUUUAAACCUUAUACAACUUUCAACAACGGAUCUCUUGGCUCU
rnacentral:misc_RNA from 1 species